AAAAAACAAGGUAAAGAUAUAUCAUGAUUGAAAGAGUUUGAAUAAUAAGCUGGCUAUCCUUCACAAUGUAGUUGUGAAUUAGCAUGAACAAAAUUUCAAAGCUGAAUGAACAUUGAAAAUGAACAUAACAAUUAUAUCUGAACCAACUGGUAAUGAAGGUGAUCAGCCUUUUAUACCCGACUUAUACAUGCAAGAUGUACAGAGUACAAUUCAUAAGCAUAUCUGUCUGAAACCACUCUUAAAAGAGUUUAAGUAAAAAGAACUUGAAAAACUUGCCUGAACCGUUGAUUACCGUAACGCAAUAUAAUACGCUUCUCCUGAAGACCUAAUAUUAAUAAUAUAGAUCUCCAAUAUUAGAAUAAUAUCAUCACCGUUAUAAAAUAACUUAAACACAUAAUCCUAUCAGUCUAUACAGCAUAUAAAACCUAUAAUAGAUCUUUCGGUUAGUCAUAACAUAUAGUUAAGUAUUAGACAUUAGUUUUAAGUCUUAAUAUUAUUAUUAUACUUUGAUAUUCUUUUAAUCACAUCAUAACUUAUACUUAUAAGUUAUUCAUUUUUAUAUGUUAUCCUAGUAAAUUAGAUAACAUCUUAGUAAACCGAAAUACCAUUUCAGUAAGACGGAUUUUAUUUCAGUAUCCCGAAAUCACUAUUCUUUUUCACGAAAAAUACCAAAUCAACUUAUUAUUUUUUUAUCCUUUGGUCAAACAUAUAUACAUGUAUUUCAUACAUAAAAAAUAUUUUUCCGUAAUUUUUCAAUUUCUUUUACUAUUUUUCAAAAAUCAUAAUUAGUGCGUGACUUAAGAAAAUUAGCUACCUCGUGCUUAACUCCAGAGAUGCCCAUCUUUUGACAUAACCUUAUAUAUGUUAACGUGAUGCUCCAUUUUAAAUUUCGUGGCAAUCGGAGUUGUAGAACUCCGGUUAUAGCGAUUUCCGUCGGAAAAUCACAAAAAUUGAAAUGGUCAUAACUUGGUCGUUUUAAGCCGGAAUUAGCUCAUUUUUGGACACGAGCUACAUAUUACCAUAUAUUUUCAUUUCCCAAAAGCCUGUAAUUUUUCUCAUUAACUAAAUGUCCAAAACAGCCCUCGGAAAAUUUUGGCCAGAAACUUUUUGCACUUUGGCAGUUUUGGAGUCCUUCACCAAAACUUAAAUAAAACGAAAUCUGUAACUCCGAUUAAUGAUCCGUCAAUUUUGUUGGAUUCGUAUCUUUCCGAACUACAGUUUUCAUAUAUCACAAUCCAUAUUUGGAUAUGUUUAGCUCCCGGAAUUUAGCCCGGAAGUGACUGUUCCAAAACUGUCCUUUUCACAGUUUUCUUAACUUUGUGUAGUUUGGGAGAAAUCCCAUAACUCCCUCCUCCGAUGUCGGAUUUAGUCCGUUUUGGAGUCUAUGGAAAGCUUAUUGAGUGUACUAUAACAUAUCACAAGUCCAGAAUUUUUAGAGCACUCUAACAAAUCCGAAAUUUUCUGUUUUAGGGCAGCAGUCCACUAACUCAUUUAAAACAAAAAAAACUGUUUUGGUUAUUCUUCUUUGUUCAAGCCUAUCAACCCUAAAAAUGGCAAGAUCUAACCAUAAAAUAUCAUUUAUCAUGUAGAUCUAUAGUUCUCAUGUUCAAGAUCUUAAACUUAUGGUUCAAAAUCAUAAGUUCAACACUUGAUCUAAAACACCAUAUCAAAACACUUUAACUAACAAGAGUUUUGAGUUUAGGAAAUUUUUACCUUUAGCUUCAUGACAUAUCUUUUUCUUCCAACUAUGUGAUGGAUCUUGGAUGGAAUGAAAAAUCAAAAUCUCUUCUCCUUCUUUCUUGGAGUUUCCUAACUCCCCUCUCCCUCUCUCUCUUGUCUCUCUCUUUCUUUCUUAGUUAUGUUGGAAAAUAAGAUGAGAAAAGUGAAGAAUAUGAUUUUUGUUUAGUGUAAUAAUGUAAGAAAUGUAUCUAGACAUUAGUUUGCUUGAUAAUUGAGGUGUAAUAGCAUAGUAACAUGAGUGACUUCUAGAAGCAAUUGAUUAGCUAGCAUAAUUGAAGAUUCUUAUCAACAAUGUUACUAAUAAUACACUAAUAAAACAAAAGGGUAUACUAGUAAUUUCCACAUUAAUAAAUGAUUUCUUUUUAAUUCUUAUUUAUUAUACCAAAUGUCCAAUAUGUCCCUCCUUAUUUGGGCUUAAAUUUGGGUCACCAUUUCCAUCUUUUGGGCUAUCAAUAAAUAAUAUAUUGGACUUAAAAUUUAAUUCUUUGGGCCAUGUAAAUUAACAUAGUCCAACACUCUUAAUUCUUAUCCAACCCAAAUCAUUUAAUUAGGGUUUUCAUUUUCCUCAAUUAUAACUUAAAUCCUUACUCAUGCACAUUUAUUUCCUUAACCCAAUUAGACUUGCUAAAAUUAGGUUAUAAAAUUAAUUAACUGAGAUGUAUAAAAUAAAUCUCUCAUAAUUGGUAUAUAUUCUAAAUACCAUAAUUUUCUCAUCUCAUAACCCUUAAGUUAUUAAAUUCUUCAUUCCUAAUAUAUAAUUAGGAUCACAUUAGUUUCUUUUAUUUGUUUAUAUAAUAAACAAUAUAAACCAUCACAUAAUCUUCAUAUUCCUUUACUCACCUAUUCGAACAAAAUAAUUUAAUAAAUUGUGACAUGUUCCACAAUUCUCUUAAAUUAGGUCACUAAUAUAAAAAUAAAAUAUUAGGACCACUAAAUAACGAUAACCAUUUAGGUUAUUUAAUUAUCACACCUAAUAUAUAUAUUAGGUUACAUAAUUUAAUUCUUACUUCACUUUUAUAUACAAAAUAAAUGUAUUCACAUUAUAUAAUGUAUAUUUAUUUAAUCAUACACAUAAUUCAUAUUCAUUACACACAUAACUUUUAAUCCCUUAGGGUUUUAUACAAAACAUUAGGAUUUCUAAUUUAACAAUUAGGGUUAUCCCUAAUAUAUAAUCACAAAUACUUAAGCCAUUAUAUUUAGCCUUUGACUUCCCAAAUUAGGGUUUCAAAUACCGAAUUAGGAUUUUGGAUUUCCGGUACUGAAAUUAGGGUUUUCAGAAUUGAUUUCUAGGGUUUCUUAUAAAUCGUAAUAAUUUUUUUUUAUAACUGAACGUGGACGUUCUUAAUAUAUACGAUUAGGGUUUAACACAGGUUUAAUUUAUCUGGUCAACCCUUGACCCUUAACCACAUUCUGCACACAUACUACCGUAAUCACAAAACAUAUACUCUUAUACCCUUAAUCCUGAAUAAUUCACUAAAAGAAAUUUUAAAUCCUCAAAAUUCCUUUCUGAAAACAUCAAACACAUACACUUAUUCUCUGUCUAGGUCUAUUAUUUGACCUUAAACCAAUCAUCUAAGAUUUUAAUAAAUUUUCUAAAUUCUCGGGUUGUCACAUUCACCCCUUCUUCUAAGAAUUUCGUCCCCGAAAUUCAACUUACACCGUAUACCAUACAUCUUAUACCAUUCACACAUAUCAUCACAUGCUACCCAAUACAUCACUCACAAGAGUAGUAUUUUAGAAUUGUGCUGAGGAAUUACAUAUACUAUCUGUCUGUCAUUUUCACACGGUUUUAUGGAAAUCCAUCUGUAAACCGUCAUAUCUUACGGACACAAAGGGUGAUUAGCCCGAUAUGCCCUGUACUAGCCAAGUACUUCUGUUCGGAACAAUUUGUUCCUCUUCUUCUGUUCGGAACAAUUCGUUCCUCUUCUCCGCCUUAGGCGCAUAAAAUUUCUUUCCUCAGAAUUCCGUACCAAAAUGAUUUGGUUCGGGAAAUUUCUUUCAAUGAACAUUUGAGAGUUUUCGUAAACAUUAGUCUAGCUGAAUCCAAUAGCAUAGACCCAUAUCAAUAAUUCAGUUCAAUAGAAUUAUUUAAGUAUAGCCAAACCCCGUUGGCAAAUUAAAAUUUUUAAAAACAUUUUUCGAGAAUGACGUCAUGAUGCCGUACCGUAUUACCAGUCCGUUUGAGGAUUCCGUCAUUUGGUGAUUUUAUCAUACUACAUCAUACCAUAGUGGGCUGACAAUCCUGAGAUCACAUCCAACACUAAGUAAUACUGUAUUGAUGACUCCAUCAUUUUUUUAUUAUCUCUGCACCAGGUUACAUGGUACAUAAGUGAUAAAUAAAAAUAACUUUUGACAUUUCAAAUCAUUUGCGUCUAGCCAAAAUAAGUAGCAUAGACUAUACUUUAAACCGUUUCAAAAAUGAUUACGAGUCUAUAUUUUUGUUUUCAAAAGCACAUAGUGCGUAUUUAGCUUGAUGUCAAAAAUUUGAAGCUUAGCAUAGCUAUGAGUUUAGAAAAACCUAACACCUUUACUAAUAAUCAUUUGCUUAACAAUCUAUCUGUUCCUAUAAUUCUCAAUUCUUCAUUCACACAUAACUAUACCCAAUUCGUCAAACUUACCACACUUAUGAGUUCAGGAACUUACCACAAUCAUAUGAGUUUAAGAACUUUCCAAGACAGACCUUUGGCGUCCAUUCGCUAAGAGGUCCAUAAACAUUUCAUAUAAUCAUGAGUCACGAACGUACCAUAAGUAUGAGUUUUAAGAACUCGUACUUAACCUUAUAUCCUCUAUCUAUGACCUAUCUACCUGUUAUACACAUGAGAAAGGAAUCACCCUCUAAACAUGCAUAUAGCAAAUAACGCGACAUAAACAUUUCAAUGAUUAUCAGUGCCAGAAACUAAGUGGUUUUUACACCAAGUAUAAUUCAGCUCCCAUACGAAGAAUCAUACAACUCAGCUGCCGACAUGAGUCUUCAAUUGAAUCCCCACCUAACACUAACCCCUUCUCCAUAUGAAUUUAAUUCGUAUUUAUAAUUCUCUUCUGGAUCUGUACCAAUUUAUAGUACAAUUCAUACACAACAAUCUUGCUGUAAACUUUUCAUCAUUCUCUGGAUCUUUCUUCAUACCAUAACCUUAUCAGAUCACAGAGUGAUCUCAUCGUAUAUAUUACGAUUCAUUGCUAUUCUGUGAUCGUUUUGUUUUACGAUCUCUUAUCCUUACACUUGUAAUCUCUUAGACUCUAUCUAUCUAUUUUCUAUACUUGGUACACAUCGAGUCUCUAACAGUUUUCGAUAUGGUACGCUGAGUGGUUUUCCAUAAACAACCAACAAACUAGGUUCCGAGUUGCUAGUUCGUAUAUACCUCCGCUCUAUGAAGGAAUCGUUUAGCCCAUAUACCAUACAUCAACUAGUUUCGAGUACAAUGGUACCAUACUUAAACCUAACUUUUUGACCCUGCGAGAUUCUUCAACUAACUCUAUAUGAGUUAGUACUUAUCUUAAUCACUGCGGUUAUUGGUCUCAGGUAUUGCUACCUAAGCUUCAUAACCAACAGCUUUGAUACCAACUGUAGCGCCCCCGAAUCCGGGUCCCAAAUCGCCGCGGAUUCGGUACAAUCAUUCUACAACUGUUUGCGGAAGAUAUAAACAUAGAUUGUUUAUACAUUAAACUUUACACACAUUUCCCCAUAAUCGAGUAACCUUCACUUAUACACAAUCAUGAACUAUCUAGCACAUGACAAUACUAUUUUUCAACAUACUUUACAACUUAACUUCACAUUCUGUACUAAGCUGAACUUGGCAUUAUCCUUUUUCGGUAUCUGGCCGUAUUCGCCUUAUCUGCAAUAUUUUAUCAUGAUAUAGAAAGGGUGAGCAUGAAAGUUGCCCAGCAAGUUUAAAAACAAGGUAAAGAUAUAUCAUGAUGGAAAGAGUUUGAAUAAUAAGCUGN
rnacentral:lncRNA from 1 species